rnacentral:rRNA from 1 species
ACGCUGGCGGCGUGCUUAACACAUGCAAGUCGAGCGGUAAGGCCUUUCGGGGUACACGAGCGGCGAACGGGUGAGUAACACGUGGGUGAUCUGCCCUGCACUUCGGGAUAAGCCUGGGAAACUGGGUCUAAUACCGGAUAUGACCUCAGGUUGCAUGACUUGGGGUGGAAAGACUUAUCGGUGCAGGAUGGGCCCGCGGCCUAUCAGCUUGUUGGUGGGGUAAUGGCCUACCAAGGCGACGACGGGUAGCCGACCUGAGAGGGUGACCGGCCACACUGGGACUGAGACACGGCCCAGACUCCUACGGGAGGCAGCAGUGGGGGAUAUUGCACAAUGGGCGAAAGCCUGAUGCAGCGACGCCGCGUGAGGGAUGACGGCCUUCGGGUUGUAAACCUCUUUCAGCAGGGACGAAGCGCAAGUGACGGUACCUGCAGAAGAAGCACCGGCUAACUACGUGCCAGCAGCCGCGGUAAUACGUAGGGUGCAAGCGUUGUCCGGAAUUACUGGGCGUAAAGAGUUCGUAGGCGGUUUGUCGCGUCGUUUGUGAAAACCAGCAGCUCAACUGCUGGCUUGCAGGCGAUACGGGCAGACUUGAGCACUGCAGGGGAGACUGGAAUUCCUGGUGUAGCGGUGAAAUGCGCAGAUAUCAGGAGGAACACCGGUGGCGAAGGCGGGUCUCUGGGCAGUAACUGACGCUGAGGAACGAAAGCGUGGGUAGCGAAC